UACCGAUUUCAUCGAUGUGCGUGAGAAAGAGGCUCACCGUGAAACUCGCGGCGUUCGUAAAAGGACUCGCGAAAUUACCUUGAAGACUUUAAUGCAGGCUGACGAUAUAAAAACAUUUGGGACAUCCGAAUUGGAAACAACAAACGCAACGUUCUUGAUUAACGCAAAGAAUGACACUAUCGAUAAUUCGUCAAAAGAACUCAGAAAAAAGUCGAGUGCUAACAAUAAUUAUUUACGUAAAGACCUUGUGGUAACAGCAACUCCAUUAAAACUUCAAAGAAAGGAGAAUAGUGGACCAGGCUUACCAGAUGAUCUAUUCGAGCUUCAGCAACGUAUUACCAAAGAAAUACUCAAUUCAAAAUUGGAGGGAAGGGAAAUGAUGGUAUUGCAGAUUAAAUAUGUCUGUAAACAUGUUUAUGGGUAAGAGGUCGGUAAUCGCACAAAAGUUUUAGCAAGAAAGGCGAGAUUCCUG
rnacentral:sRNA from 15 species